GUCAGAAGGCAACUGGCAUCUUCUGGACAGGAACUUGGCAUUAUGAUCUGAUGAGAGUUUAACAAAUUCUACUCUUUAGCCAUGGAGUAUCAUCUGAUGUAUCCAGUAACAGAGCCAAUAAUACACAAGGUUUGAAAAGCCAUGAAGUUCCUUCAAAUCCUCACAUGACACCCUUCCACCAAAGAGCUCAAGGACCUCACAGGAACAACCACUUCCCUGGAGCUUGAUCAGCAGGGAUCCGUGGGAGGUGCCUUUGUCCAGACAUGGAAGGCAAUGGAAACCUUCUCAGACAUACUGGAGGAGAUCAUGCAUCCCAUUUUCCUUGGCUUUAUUAACUUGCUCUCACUGGCAGACAACGUUCAAACUCUAAAGGAAGAUUUCAAUGUUAAAAAUAAAUCUACGUGUUUACAGUAUUUAUUGUAACAAAUAACAAUGUGCACCCCUUUA